rfam:Fukomys damarensis contig122338, whole genome shotgun sequence.
CUCUAUAGCCACACCACCCUGAACACACAGAUCUUGUCUGAUCUCCGAAGCUAAGCAAGGUUGUGCCUGGUUAGUACUUGGAUGGGAGAAGUACUGAAAGAUACAGUUGGUGCUGUUUUAA